ACCUGGCUGGCUUAGUUGGUGAAGCAUGAGAUUCUUGAUCUGGUGGUUGUGAGUUCAAGCCCCACAUUGGGUG
rnacentral:tRNA from 1 species